GGCUCAGACGACGCUGGCGGCAGGCUUAACACAUGCAAGUCGACGCCCGCAAGGGAGUGGCAGCCGGGUAGUAACGCGUGGGAACAUACCCUUUCCUGCGGAAUAGCUCCGGGAAACUGGAAUUAAUCCCGCAUCGCCCUACGGGGGAAAGAUUUAUCGGGGAAGGAUUGGCCGGCGUUGGAUUAGCUAGUUGGUGGGGUAAAGGCCCCCAAGGCCCCGUCAGGGAAAUGAAAAAAUGUCGGCCCCAUUGGGACUGAGACACGGCCCAAACUCCUACGGGAGGCAGCAGUGGGGAAUAUUGGACAAUGGGCGCAAGCCUGAUCCAGCCAUGCCGCGUGAGUGAUGAAGGUUUUGGGUUGUAAAGCCUUUCACCGAUGAAGAUACUGGCGG
rnacentral:rRNA from 1 species